rnacentral:rRNA from 1 species
AUUGAACGCUGGCGGCAGGCCUAACACAUGCAAGUCGAACGAGUGGCGGACGGGUGAGUAAUGUCUGGGAAACUGCCUGAUGGAGGGGGAUAACUACUGGAAACGGUAGCUAAUACCGCAUACCCUAGGCAGUGCCCAGAGUGGAUUAACGAGUAGGUGGGGUAAAGGGUACCCUAGGCGACGAUCCCUAGCUGGUCUGAGAGGAUGACCAGCCACACUGGAACUGAGACACGGUCCAGACUCCUACGGGAGGAAGCAGUGGGGAAUAUUGCACAAUGGGCGCAAGCCUGAUGCAGCCAUGCCGCGUGUAUGAAGAAGGCCUUCGGGUUGUAAAGUACUUUCAGCGGGGAGGCGUUACCCGCAGAAGAAGCACCGGCUAACUCCGUGCCAGCAGCCGCGGUAAUUC